CUAACUAAAGUGCGCUUCGUUUCGUUCGCAUUUUGCGAGUCGUAUUUUUCGUGUUUUUAUGUUUUCAAUGUAAUUAAAAUAGGAAAAUGAUUUUGUUUCGCACGUUUGAUUUUUCAUAUUAGAUUUGAUAAGUUUAGAGUCCAUCGCAAGCUUUUGCGAUGGACGUACCGGACGAUAGUGUGUUGGACGUGGACUUGCUAGCUGAUGAUGGCUCCGAGGAAGAUGGUGAAGCCCGCCGACGUCAGAUUUCUAUGCGGGCCCGGGGUCCACGCCGACGUCGUGUGCUUCGUCUCCUCGCGGCGAAGAGCCUGCCUCUCCACACGGCGGCCUGGUGCAGCCUACCUUCUUCCACCAUCAGUCCUACACUCGGCCGUUCUUUACUUCUGGCCGACGAGGCCCAGGACGACCGAGAAAAGAAGGGCCAAAAUUGUCUCGAGAAG